rnacentral:rRNA from 1 species
GAUAAACGCUGGCGGCGUGCUUUAUGCUUGCAAGUCGAACGAUACCGAUGAACCAAGCCUGCUUGGAACAUUGGAAGAGUGGCAAACGGGUGAGUAAUACGUAAGUAACCUGCCCCUAAGUAGGGGAUAACUCUGAGAAAUUGGAGCUAAUACUGUAGUGGUGGUGAAGGUAGUGCUUCACUACUAAAGCCUUCGGGUGCUUAGGGAGGGGCUUGCGUCCGAUUAGCUAGUUGGUAGGGUAACGGUUUACCAAGGCGAUGAUCGGUAGCUGGUCUGAGAGGGCGAUCAGCCACACUGGGACUGAGACACGGCCCAGACUCCUACGGGAGGCAGCAGCAAGGAAUUUUGUGCAAUGGGCGAAAGCCUGACACAGCGACGCCGCGUGAGGGAUGAAGGCCUUCGGGUUGUAAACCUCUUUUCUCAGGGAAGAAUAAUGACGGUACCUGAGGAAUAAGUCUCGGCUAACUACGUGCCAGCAGCCGCGGUAAUACGUAGGAGGCGAGCGUUAUCCGGAUUUACUGGGCGUAAAGCGGGCGCAGGCGGCUUUUCAAGUCGGGUGUGAAAUCUCCCUGCUUAAUAGGGAGGGGUCAUUCGAUACUGUUAAGCUAGAGGGCAGCAGGGGGAGGUGGAAUUCCCGGUGGAGUGGUGAAAUGCGUAGAUAUCGGGAGGAACACCAGUGGCGAAGGCGGCCUCCUGGGCUGUUUCUGACGCUGAGGCCCGAAAGCGUGGGGAGCGAACAUGAUUAGAUACCCUGGUAGUCCACGCUGUCAACGAUGGAUACUAGGUAUAGGGAGUAUCGACCCUCUCUGUGCCGAAGCUAACGCGUUAAGUAUCCCGCCUGGGGACACGGCCGCAAGGCU